rnacentral:rRNA from 1 species
CCUACGGGUGGCUGCAGUGGGGAAUAUUGCACAAUGGGCGCAAGCCUGAUGCAGCCAUGCCGCGUGUGUGAAGAAGGCCUUCGGGUUGUAAAGCACUUUCAGCGGGGAGGAAGGCGUUAAGGUUAAUAACCUUGGCGAUUGACGUUACCCGCAGAAGAAGCACCGGCUAACUCCGUGCCAGCAGCCGCGGUAAUACGGAGGGUGCAAGCGUUAAUCGGAAUUACUGGGCGUAAAGCGCACGCAGGCGGUCUGUCAAGUCGGAUGUGAAAUCCCCGGGCUCAACCUGGGAACUGCAUUCGAAACUGGCAGGCUAGAGUCUUGUAGAGGGGGGUAGAAUUCCAGGUGUAGCGGUGAAAUGCGUAGAGAUCUGGAGGAAUACCGGUGGCGAAGGCGGCCCCCUGGACAAAGACUGACGCUCAGGUGCGAGAGCGUGGGGAGCAAACAGGAUUAGAUACCCUAGUAGUC